ACAGGCAUGAGCCACCAUGCCCAGCAGAAAUCAUUAUUUGAGAGAAAGUUUCCUAUGGGAACUAAGGGCUGGGAAAAUGAUCCAGGAAGGAAAGAGCAGACAACCAGCUGAGGCCCUGUGACAGUUAAGGCAAAUGUGAGAAGUCCCUGCUCGUUUUUGCCUUAUCAGUCAGAGACACUUGCCACAACCAACAUGGGUGGGUGCAGCCUCAGGCCAUGGGCAGCCACACACACAUCCACAAACUCGCAACCUCUGGCCCAAGUCAACAACCAAACCUAAACCGCAACAGGAGUAGCCCAUAGUAACCUUGAGAACUUAAGGGUGUGAGGAGAGGUGAUAGGAACCACUUUGCAGCCAGAAGCAAGAAGGGGAAGACAAUGCAAACUACCCCCUGAAAAGGUGUUUGGGGGGCUGCCAUAUGCCAGGUGGCUCCUAAGGAGCCCCAACCCUGAUGCACCCACUAAAGAGGAAGCUGAGUUUCUCUUGGAUCUCAGCCACCAGCAGCUGAUUAGGGUGUUUUCCCUAAAUGCCUAAAAUAGAUAAGGACUGAGCAGGGGAAAAGGUAGGACUUCUGGGGGUCAGAAGCAAACACAAGGCUGGGGGCGGUGGCUCACGCCUGUAAUCCCAGCACUUUGGGAGGCCGAGGCGG
rnacentral:lncRNA from 10 species